GACGAACGCUGGCGGCGUGCUUAACACAUGCAAGUCGAACGGUAAGGCCCUUCGGGGUACACGAGUGGCGAACGGGUGAGUAACACGUGGGUGAUCUGCCCUGCACUUCGGGAUAAGCCUGGGAAACUGGGUCUAAUACCGGAUAGGACCACUGCCUGCAUGGGUGGUGGUGGAAAGCUUUUGCGGUGUGGGAUGGGCCCGCGGCCUAUCAGCUUGUUGGUGGGGUGAUGGCCUACCAAGGCGACGACGGGUAGCCGGCCUGAAAGGGUGACCGGCCACACCGGGACUGAGAGACGGCCCAGACUCCUACGGGAGGCAGCAGUGGGGAAUAUUGCACAAUGGGCGCAAGCCUGAUGCAGCGACGCCGCGUGAGGGAUGACGGCCUUCGGGUUGUAAACCUCUUUCAGCACCGACGAAGCGCAAGUGACGGUACCUGCAGAAAAAGCACCGGCUAACUACGUGCCAGCCGCCGCGUAA
rnacentral:rRNA from 1 species